AACGAACGCUGGCGGCAGGCCUAACACAUGCAAGUCGAGCGCGCCCUUCGGGGUGAGCGGCGGACGGGUGAGUAACGCGUGGGAACGUGCCCUUCUCUGCGGAAUAGCCUCGGGAAACUGAGAGUAAUACCGCAUACGCCCUUUGGGGGAAAGAUUUAUCGGAGAAGGAUCGGCCCGCGUUGGAUUAGGGAGUUGGUGGGGUAAUGGCCGACCAAGCCGACGAUCCAUAGCUGGUGUGAGAGGAUGAUCAGCCACACUGGGACUGAGACACGGCCCAGACUCCGACGGGAGGCAGCAGUGGGGAAUCUUAGACAAUGGGGGCAAACCUGAUCUAGCCAUGCCGCGUGAGUGAUGAAGGCCUUAGGGUUGUAAAGCCCUUUCAGCUGGGGAGAUAAUGACGGUACCAGCAGAAGAAGCCCCGGCUAACUCCGUG
rnacentral:rRNA from 1 species